rnacentral:rRNA from 1 species
UGGGGAAUAUUGCACAAUGGGGGAAACCCUGAUGCAGCGACGCCGCGUGAAGGAAGAAGUAUUUCGGUAUGUAAACUUCUAUCAGCAGGGAAGAUAAUGACGGUACCUGACUAAGAAGCUCCGGCUAAAUACGUGCCAGCAGCCGCGGUAAUACGUAUGGAGCAAGCGUUAUCCGGAUUUACUGGGUGUAAAGGGUGCGCAGGUGGCGUGGCAAGUCAGAAGUGAAAACCCGGGGCUCAACCCCGCGGACUGCUUUUGAAACUGUCAUGCUGGAGUCCAGGAGAGGUAAGCGGAAUUCCUAGUGUAGCGGUGAAAUGCGUAGAUAUUAGGAGGAACACCAGUGGCGAAGGCGGCUUACUGGACUGGUACUGACACUGAGGCACGAAAGCGUGGGGAGCAAACAGGAUUAGAUACCCUGGUAGU